rnacentral:misc_RNA from 1 species
UUUUCUGAUGUCUUUAGUUGAUGUGGGGUGUGAGGAGGCUUUCCAGUUAUACAUUGUGUUGUAGCUUUAUUCUUAAAGGAAGGAAGCUAACUCCUUGGUUCUCAAUUCUUGGAGAGUGUGAGCACUUUAAUAUGGAGUUGAUGUAGGCACAUUCUUUGGAUGCAUGUAGGAUACUGGACUGUUAACCAAAUAUUCUUUUCUUCCAGUUGUUUUUUUGAAGGGGAAGUAAGAGUACAUGCCUGCAACACAUGGGAAACUCUUAAAUUUAUGUAUAGAAAACGGAAGGAGAGUACAGGAUUUGUACAACAAUACUCAAAUGCUAGAGGCAUUUGUUGACUUUUACUGACUUGUACAUAAGUCUUCAAAUAUGAUUUUUUUUUGGCAAAAAGGAAUUACUUCUCA